GACGAACCGUGCGAACGUUAUUCGGAAUCAUUGGGCUUAAAGGGCGCGUAGGCGGCGGCGUAAGUUGGAAGUGAAAUCCCAUCGGCUCAACCGUGGAAUUGCUCCCAGUACUGCGUCGCUCGAGGGGGAUAGGGGUCUGCGGAACUACCGGUGGAGCGGUGAAAUGUGUUGAUAUCGGUGGGAACGCCAGUGGCGAAAGCGGCAGACUUGACCCUUCCUGACGCUGAGGCGCGAAAGCUAGGGGAGCAAACAGG
rnacentral:rRNA from 1 species